UACGUAGGGGGCGAGCGUUGUCCGGAUUUACUGGGCGUAAAGCGCGUGUAGGCGGCCCGGUAAGUCCGCUGUGAAAGUCCAGGGCUCAACCCUGGAAUGCCGGUGGAAACUGUCGGGCUAGAGUCCGGAAGAGGCGAGUGGAAUUCCUGGUGUAGCGGUGAAAUGCGCAGAUAUCAGGAGGAACACCAAUGGCGAAGGCAGCUCGCUGGGACGGUACUGACGCUGAGACGCGAAAGCGUGGGGAGCAAACAGG
rnacentral:rRNA from 1 species